rnacentral:lncRNA from 1 species
UGGAAUACAACAAGGAGAAACCUCUGAGCCUCAAACUGGAGUAACAACUAGAGAACAGAAAGUAUCACAAACUGGCGAGCCUGAAACUGCACAACAGCAAGAAUUAGAAACUACAGGAGCAGCAGCAAAACAGAAGGAAUUAGAAACUUCUCAAAACGAUAAAGUAAAAAAGACCAUAAAUAGCAGCAGAAAUGGAACCAUGGAGAUUGAAUGUAGGGGGCUGGAUGAGGUUGAUUUGUUGGGAUUAACUCAGAUCAGUAAUAGAGCAAGGUGCCUGAUUAAUUGGCUGGUGAAUGCUCUGAUGAAGCUAAAGCAUC